GAAGAACACGGGCGGAAAGAGAAAACACGCUUUUUUGGGACAUUUAAGAAAGAACAGUGAGUUAAAGACAUUACCAAUCACUUUGAGAAAGACGGUUGUCGAAAUGCGUUAGUGCGGAUGUUUAUGAGAGAUCUUUUGUUUUACUAUAUAUAUUUUUACCAAUAUUAUAGUUUGUUCUGGCUACCUUUACCAACCCCCCUAUUUUUGGUGUUUACUGAUAACCUAAGGGGGUGUUCUAGUAUCCAGCAGAAUAUUCCGGCAUCAAAUUCCAGCACUUGAUCUCAGCAACCAACUAUACAUAUCCCAAGGAGCUUAAAGUCUGAGCCCACUAGAAACGGCUCAGUACCACGUGAGUGGGACCCAUUUGCUUUUUUUCGUUUUAAAGUAUUUUAUACAGAUUUCACUAUGAUCUGUUGUUUCUUGUUUUUUUAGGUUAUACCAUGUUUUAUGGUAACCUGCAUGUGUGUGAUACCCAAUUGUUUAUUCACUUUUAGUAUUGCUCAUCUUGUGUCAUUACAGAGAGAGCAUAUCUGAAUCAUAUCAGACUGGUCCCACCCGUACGGUCAGUCCAGAUCCAAAAUGCCAGCAAGUUCCCUCUGCAGAGACACAGCAACCCCAGACGAUCGUUUCAAACUUUUUAGGCAUCAUCAGUGAGGCAUAGCUGAUAUCUCUCGAGGCACCGUGAGCAAGUGGUCUGUGGCAAACCUAGCCACUUUAGGUCAUAUUGCAGAACAUUUAAAGGUUGUCUGUGUUAACCUGGUGUAAAAAAUGUAUUCAUGUGUUUUAGAAUAGAGAGCAUGCAUAGACUAACAACCGUGAAUAAAAAUGUCAGUUGACUCCUGGAG